rnacentral:rRNA from 1 species
UAGUCCACGCCCUAAACGAUGCUUACUGGAUGUGUGUUAAUGUUAUGCGCAUCUGAGGGAAACCAUUAAGUAAGCCACCUGGGGAGUACGGUCGCAAGGCUAAAACUCAAAGGAAUUGACGGGGGCCCGCACAAGCGGUGGAGUAUGUGGUUUAAUUCGAAGCAACGCGAAGAACCUUACCUGGUCUUAACAUUUAGCGACAACUCCAGAGAUGGAGCUUUCCCUUCGGGGACGCUAGGAUAGGUGCUGCAUGGCUGUCGUCAGCUCGUGUCGUAGGAUGUUGGGUUAAGUCCCGCAACGAGCGCAACCCUUACCUUUAGUUGCCACCAUUAAGUUGGGGACUCUAAAGGGACUGCCGGUGUUAAACCGGAGGAAGGCGGGGAUGAUGUCAAGUCCUCAUGGCCCUUACGGCCAGGGCUACACACGUACUACAAUGGCAGAAACAAACCGUUGCGAAGCCGCGAGGUGGAGCUAAUCGGAAAAACACUGUCUCAGUCCGGAUUGAAGUCUGCAACUCGACUUCA